rnacentral:pre_miRNA from 1 species
AUUUCUAGAGAUGAGCAUAUAUUGAAGAAUUAUGGAGUAGAUGAAGUUUACAAAGUUCCUCUCUUGGAUUGGACUAACUCUCUUCAAUUAUUGUGUCGAAAAGCUUUCAAACUUGAUCAUAUUUUGAAUAGUUAUGAAGGGUUGGUUAAUGGCAUACUACAUUAUGCCAAUGGCCUACCACUUGCAAUUAAAGUAUUGGGUUCAUUUUUG